UACGGAGGGUGCAAGCGUUAAUCGGAAUUACUGGGCGUAAAGCGUGCGCAGGCGGUUUGUUAAGUCCGCUGUGAAAUCCCCGAGCUCAACUUGGGAAUUGCAGUGGAUACUGGCAGGCUGGAGUAUGGUAGAGGAAGGUGGAAUUCCCGGUGUAGCAGUGAAAUGCGUAGAGAUCGGGAGGAACACCAGUGGCGAAGGCGGCCUUCUGGACCAAUACUGACGCUCAUGUACGAAAGCGUGGGGAGCAAACAGG
rnacentral:rRNA from 1 species